rnacentral:rRNA from 1 species
GAUGAACGCUGGCGGCGUGCCUAAUACAUGCAAGUCGAGCGAACGGACGAGAAGCUUGCUUCUCUGAUGUUAGCGGCGGACGGGUGGGUAACACGUGGAUAACCUACCCAUAAGACUGGGAUAACUUCGGGAAACCGGAGCUAAUACCGGAUAAUAUUUUGAACCGCAUGGUUCAAAAGUGAAAGACGGUCUUGCUGUCACUUAUAGAUGGAUCCGCGCUGCAUUAGCUAGUUGGUAAGGUAACGGCUUACCAAGGCAACGAUGCAUAGCCGACCUGAGAGGGUGAUCGGCCACACUGGAACUGAGACACGGUCCAGACUCCUACGGGAGGCAGCAGUAGGGAAUCUUCCGCAAUGGGCGAAAGCCUGACGGAGCAACGCCGCGUGAGUGAUGAAGGUCUUCGGAUCGUAAAACUCUGUUAUUAGGGAAGAACAUAUGUGUAAGUAACUGUGCACAUCUUGACGGUACCUAAUCAGAAAGCCACGGCUAACUACGUGCCAGCAGCCGCGGUAAUACGUAGGUGGCAAGCGUUAUCCGGAAUUAUUGGGCGUAAAGCGCGCGUAGGCGGUUUUUUAAGUCUGAUGUGAAAGCCCACGGCUCAACCGUGGAGGGUCAUUGGAAACUGGAAAACUUGAGUGCAGAAGAGGAAAGUGGAAUUCCAUGUGUAGCGGUGAAAUGCGCAGAGAUAUGGAGGAACACCAGUGGCGAAGGCGACUUUCUGGUCUGUAACUGACGCUGAUGUGCGAAAGCGUGGGGAUCAAACAGGAUUAGAUACCCUGGUAGUCCACGCCGUAAACGAUGAGUGCUAAGUGUUAGGGGGUUUCCGCCCCUUAGUGCUGCAGCUAACGCAUUAAGCACUCCGCCUGGGGAGUACGACCGCAAGGUUGAAACUCAAAGGAAUUGACGGGGACCCGCACAAGCGGUGGAGCAUGUGGUUUAAUUCGAAGCAACGCGAAGAACCUUACCAAAUCUUGACAUCCUUUGACAACUCUAGAGAUAGAGCCUUCCCCUUCGGGGGACAAAGUGACAGGUGGUGCAUGGUUGUCGUCAGCUCGUGUCGUGAGAUGUUGGGUUAAGUCCCGCAACGAGCGCAACCCUUAAGCUUAGUUGCCAUCAUUAAGUUGGGCACUCUAAGUUGACUGCCGGUGACAAACCGGAGGAAGGUGGGGAUGACGUCAAAUCAUCAUGCCCCUUAUGAUUUGGGCUACACACGUGCUACAAUGGACAAUACAAAGGGCAGCGAAACCGCGAGGUCAAGCAAAUCCCAUAAAGUUGUUCUCAGUUCGGAUUGUAGUCUGCAACUCGACUACAUGAAGCUGGAAUCGCUAGUAAUCGUAGAUCAGCAUGCUACGGUGAAUACGUUCCCGGGUCU